rnacentral:tRNA from 1 species
ACUAUUAAAGGAUAAUAGUAUAUCCAUUGGUCUUAGGAACCAAAAACUCUUGGUGCAAAUCCGAGUAAUAGCU